UCGAGAAUUUUUCACAAUGGGCGCAAGCCUGAUGGAGUGACGCCGCGUGGGGGAUGAAUGGCUUCGGCCCGUAAACCCCUGUCAUUUGCGAUCAACCGUUAUUGUUUAAGAGAUGAUAACCUGAUAGUAGCGAAAGAGGAAGGGACGGCUAACUCUGUGCCAGCAGCCGCGGUAAUACAGAGGUCCCAAGCGUUGUUCGGAUUCACUGGGCGUAAAGGGUGCGUAGGUGGCGAAGUAAGGCGGAUGUGAAAUCUCCGGGCUCAACGUGGAAACUGCAUUGGAAACUACUUUGCUUGAGGGUUGGAGGGGGGACUGGAAUACUUGGUGUAGCAGUGAAAUGCGUAGAUAUCAAGUGGAACACCAGUGGCGAAGGCGAGUCCCUGGACAACUCCUGACACUGAGGCACGAAAGCUAGGGGAGCAAACA
rnacentral:rRNA from 1 species